GGGUUAGGGUUGGAGCUAGGGUUAGGGUUAGGGUUAGGGUUGGAGUUAGGGUUAGUGUUGGAGCUAGGGUUAGGGUUGGGCUUGGAGCUAGGAUUUUUCUGAGUGCAAUGAACCAACUCCCGAGUCUCUAGGACGUUCCAAAAAAAAUUUGAUUUUUUUCCCAUAGGAAUGCAUGGGUUAGGGUUAGGGUUAGGGUUGGAGCUAGGGUUAGGGUUAGGGUUAGGGUUGGAGUUAGGGUUAGUGUUGGAGCUAGGGUUAGGGUUGGGCUUGGAGCUAGGAUUUUUCUGAGUGCAAUGAACCAACUCCCGAGUCUCUAGGACGUUCCUAAAAAAAAUUUGAUUUUUUCCCAUAGGAAUGCAUGGGUUAGGGUUAGGGUUAGGGUUGGAGCUAGGGUUAGGGUUAGGGUUAGGGUUGGAGUUAGGGUUAGUGUUGGAGCUAGGGUUAGGGUUGGGCUUGGAGCUAGGAUUUUUUUGAGUGCAAUGGACCAACUCCCGUGUCUCUAGGACGUUCCUAAAAAAAUUUGAUUUUUUCCCAUAGGAAUGCAUGGGUUAGGGUUAGGGUUAGGGUUGGAGCUAGGGUUAGGGUUAGGGUUAGGGUUGGAGUUAGGGUUAGUGUUGGCGCUAGGGUUAGGGUUGG